rnacentral:rRNA from 1 species
UUCCGGUUGAUCCUGCCGUAUCCGACUGCUAUCAGAGUGGGACUAAGCCAUGCGAGUCAACGUAGAAAUACGUGGCGAACGGCUCAGUAACACGUAGUCAACAUGCCCAGAGGACGUGGAUAACCUCGGGAAACUGAGGAUAAACCGCGAUAGGUCAUGAUUUCUGGAAUGGUUUAUGGAUGAUAUCUAUAUGGCCUCUGGAUUGGACUGCGGCCGAUCAGGCUGUUGGUGAGGUAAUGGCCCACCAAACCUGUAACCGGUACGGGCUCUGAGAGGAGGAGCCCGGAGAUGGGCACUGAGACAAGGGCCCAGGCCCUAUGGCGCGCAGCAGGCGCGAAAUCUCUGCAAUAGGCGAAAGCUUGACAGGGUUACUCUGAGUGAUUCCCGCUAAGGAGAUCUUUUGGCACCUCUAAGAAUGGUGCAGAAUAAUGGGUGGGCAAGUCUGGUGUCAGCCGCCGCGUUAAUACCAGCACCCCGAGUGGUCGGGACGAUUAUUGUACCUACAGCUUCCGUAGCCGGUACUGCAAGUCUUC